CCUGGCUCCGUAUGAACGCUAGCUACAGGCUUAACACAUGCAAGUCGAGGGGCAGCAUUUCAGUUUGCUUGCAAACUGGAGAUGGCGACCGGCGCACGGGUGAGUAACACGUAUCCAACCUGCCGAUAACUCGGGGAUAGCCUUUCGAAAGAAAGAUUAAUACCCGAUGGCAUAAUUAGACCGCAUGGUCUUAUUAUUAAAGAAUUUCGGUUAUCGAUGGGGAUGCGUUCCAUUAGGCAGUUGGUGAGGUAACGGCUCACCAAACCUUCGAUGGAUAGGGGUUCUGAGAGGAAGGUCCCCCACAUUGGAACUGAGACACGGUCCAAACUCCUACGGGAGGCAGCAGUGAGGAAUAUUGGUCAAUGGGCGCAGGCCUGAACCAGCCAAGUAGCGUGAAGGAUGACUGCCCUAUGGGUUGUAAACUUCUUUUAUAUGGGAAUAAAGUUUUCCACGUGUGGAAUUUUGUAUGUACCAUAUGAAUAAGGAUCGGCUAACUCCGUGCCAGCAGCCGCGGUAAUACGGAGGAUCCGAGCGUUAUCCGGAUUUAUUGGGUUUAAAGGGAGCGUAGGUGGACAGUUAAGUCAGUUGUGAAAGUUUGCGGCUCAACCGUAAAAUUGCAGUUGAUACUGGCUGUCUUGAGUACAGUAGAGGUGGGCGGAAUUCGUGGUGUAGCGGUGAAAUGCUUAGAUAUCACGAAGAACUCCGAUUGCGAAGGCAGCUCACUGGACUGCAACUGACACUGAUGCUCGAAAGUGUGGGUAUCAAACAGGAUUAGAUACCCUGGUAGUCCACACAGUAAACGAUGAAUACUCGCUGUUUGCGAUAUACAGUAAGCGGCCAAGCGAAAGCAUUAAGUAUUCCACCUGGGGAGUACGCCGGCAACGGUGAAACUCAAAGGAAUUGACGGGGGCCCGCACAAGCGGAGGAACAUGUGGUUUAAUUCGAUGAUACGCGAGGAACCUUACCCGGGCUUAAAUUGCAUUUGAAUAAUCUGGAAACAGGUUAGCCGCAAGGCAAAUGUGAAGGUGCUGCAUGGUUGUCGUCAGCUCGUGCCGUGAGGUGUCGGCUUAAGUGCCAUAACGAGCGCAACCCUUAUCUUUAGUUACUAACAGGUCAUGCUGAGGACUCUAGAGAGACUGCCGUCGUAAGAUGUGAGGAAGGUGGGGAUGACGUCAAAUCAGCACGGCCCUUACGUCCGGGGCUACACACGUGUUACAAUGGGGGGUACAGAAGGCAGCUACCUGGUGACAGGAUGCUAAUCCCAAAAGCCUCUCUCAGUUCGGAUCGAAGUCUGCAACCCGACUUCGUGAAGCUGGAUUCGCUAGUAAUCGCGCAUCAGCCAUGGCGCGGUGAAUACGUUCCCGGGCCUUGUACACACCG
rnacentral:rRNA from 1 species